GAGGAGGAAGAGGAGAAAGAGGAGGGGGGGUGGCACCUCCCACCGUGGGUUUGGCUCUCCAGCACCAAGUGAUCAAUCAAGGAAAUGUUCCACAGGCUACUACUCUACAGAUGGAGACUUCCAGGGCCAAUAUGGUGCCUGUUUCCUCCGACGGGGACUAGGAGAAGAUGGUGGAACAGAAGGCAACGUUAUAAGACCAAUCUCCACAUUGCCUUUUCCUGACACCGGCUGUGGACCCAGGGAGGAGGUAUCGGCUUUUGGUUGCCCUUCUCAUCAAGCCCGAAGGACAUCAGCGCUGGCGAGCCUUAACCCCUCUGCAGCCAGGCCACGGGGAGAAGUGUGCAGCUGUUCUCAAUCUUGCGAUAGGGCGCCAAGACUGUGACCUUCCUGAGUCCCAGGAUCGCUCCGCUCCCACCCCAGCUGAGACUGGCUGGGCUGCCUGUCUCCUUUCCUGGGAUUCUCCCUCUUUUCUUUCCAUAGACCUUGAGCCACGGUUUCCACGCAGCCCUCUCCAGAGGUGCCAAAUCCCUCAUUCUCUGCACCACAGGGCCGAAAGGUAGAGUCGGGUCAAUAUUUCCCCCAUGCCAUUUCCUGCUCACUACUUUCUUUCAUCCUCUCUCACCCUCAGCUUGCGCCACCGACAUCCCCUGCUUCUAGCUUUGCCCUGCCCCUCUUUUUCUCUGCUCUUACCAGUCUCUCAGACAUGCAUGCCAUGCUGCUUCACCUAGUGAAGACUCCAGCCAUACUAGAGUAUUUUUUUUCUACCCUUACUGGAGUAUUCUAGAAAAAUGGAAUGACCUGUUUUCAUACUCUGGCCGCUGGCUGUCUUCACCUUCAUCUCCAGGCACUCUGGUCUUACCUAUUCAUGCCCUGUAGACUUUAUGGUCACUAUAGCCUCAAACGCUUCUGGAACUGGGUUUCACCUCCCUCUAAGCACCCAUCACUUCUACGCCUUUCGUCUCCGUGGCUCCGGGGCCCUUGCAACACGUAUCUGGAUUCAUGACAGUUGGCAGAACCGAUUUUAGGAAAGGUGGGUAUGUCCGGUCUUGUUGGAGGAGGUGUGUCACUGGAUUUGAGGUUCCAGAAAGCCCAUGUAGUCCCAGUUAGCUCUCUCUGCCUGUGGAUCAGGAUGUAAGCUUUCACCUGCUGCUCCAGCACCAUACCUGCCUUCAGCCAUGCUCCCAGCCAUGAUGGUGACCAACUGUAACCCCCUGACACUAUACACCUGCAUCCCUUAUCAUCCUGCUAAUCUACAAUCGCCCAGGAUCCUUGCUGAUCUCUCUCAGCCUUCUUGCCACAUGGAUGAAACAUCCCCGUUUCUUCAGGCAAAGAAAAAUGUUGUUCACUGUUCUAUUCCCAUCCCUUCUCAUCAUCUCAAGGGCUCUGCUCAUUUCCUGGUUCUUGUGUUCUCAUUCUCCAUCAGGCUCUCUCUCCCUGCCGAGCCAUUUUUACCAGACACAGUCUAGUCCCUCUCAUCUUAAAGACAAAGUCUUGUUAGGGAGGAUCGAAGUUUGCCUGACACAGCCAAGGGACCCAUAAGUCAGUGCACCCAACAAGGAGGUUGACUCUGGCAGCACAAGGUUCCUCACGGUGGCUUCUUCUUCUGUGUUGCUCUGUCAUCCUUAACUCCCAGAAGAGGUUAGAUACUCCAGCCACUUCCAGCACCUCAGUCAUCGGCCGGAAAGAAAGGGAAAUGGAGGGUGAAGAAACAUCUGUUUCUGCAGCUGCAUAUCCACCAUGUUCGCUCACAGACUUGGCCUUAUGGCGGGCGUCUCUGGUUGUGAGGGAAGCUAAGGCACAGUCUCUGAGUGUCAAUCAUUUGAUUAACUAACGAGGAAGAAGAGCAUGAAUAUGGAAGCUGGUGAUCUCUUCUCUCACACAAAGUCCUUGGCUAAUCCUUUCCCAAGUUCAAAGCCCACAGGGUUUUAUCCAGUAAUUACUGCAACCAGCUCAAACCGGGACUGUAGUGGGUAGCCAUUCCAGCUUUGACCUGGAAGUUCCAACCCCCAUUGAGUCUUCGA